CAUCCCGAGUGCCGACCGCUGAGGUUGGCUUUUACCCAGUCUAGAAAGCUGGGGGAAUAAGGAGAGGGCAAGUCUGGUGUCAGCCGCCGCGGUAAUACCAGCUCUCCGAGUGGUGUGGACGUUUAUUGGGCCUAAAGCAUCCGUAGCUGGCUGAACAAGUCCCCUGUUAAACCCACCGAUUUAAUCGUUGGUCUGCGGGGGAUACUGCUCGGCUAGGGGACGAGAGAGGCAGACGGUAUUCCCGGGGUAGGGGUGAAAUCCUAUAAUCCCGAGAAGACCACCAGUGGCGAAGGCUGUCUGCUAGAACGCGCCCGACGGUGAGGGAUGAAAGCUGGGGGAGCGAACCGGAUUAGAUACCCGGGUAGUCCCAGCUGUAAACGAUGCAGACUAGGUGUUUGGACGGCCACGUGCCGUUCUAGUGCCGCAGGGAAGCUGUUAAGUCUGCCGCCUGGGGAGUACGAUCGCAAGAUUGAAACUUAAAGGAAUUGGCGGGGGAGCAC
rnacentral:rRNA from 1 species